rnacentral:rRNA from 1 species
UGCAGUCGAACGGUAACAUUUCUAGCUUGCUAGAAGAUGACGAGUGGCGGACGGGUGAGUAAUACUUAGGAAUAUGCCUUUGUGUGGGGGAUAACUAUUGGAAACGAUAGCUAAUACCGCAUAACGUCUUCGGACCAAAGGGGGCUUCGGCUCCCGCGCAAAGAGUAGCCUAAGCGAGAUUAGCUUGUUGGUGAGGUAAAGGCUCACCAAGGCGACGAUCUCUAGCUGUUCUGAGAGGAAGAUCAGCCACACUGGGACUGAGACACGGCCCAGACUCCUACGGGAGGCAGCAGUGGGGAAUAUUGCACAAUGGGGGCAACCCUGAUGCAGCCAUGCCGCGUGUGUGAAGAAGGCCUUCGGGUUGUAAAGCACUUUCAGUUGUGAGGAAAGGUUGGUGGUUAAUACCCAUCAGCUGUGACGUUAGCAACAGAAGAAGCACCGGCUAACUCCGUGCCAGCAGCCGCGGUAAUACGGAGGGUGCGAGCGUUAAUCGGAAUUACUGGGCGUAAAGCGCACGCAGGCGGUUAUAUAAGCUAGAUGUGAAAGCCCCGGGCUCAACCUGGGAAUAGCAUUUAGAACUGUAUGACUAGAGUCUUGGAGAGGGGGGUGGAAUUCCAGGUGUAGCGGUG